AGAAUCCCUGUAUGCACCAUAUAAACCCUAAGGCCACUGGAGAUUUUAUUCAACCACGCAGAAUGAGGACAUGACUAUACAGGUCAGCAGGAGAAGUCUCUAAAAGUCAAACUUGGAGAGGGUGAGUCCUUGAUGGUGGAAAGACAGGCAACAGACAGGCAAGCAUGACAUGGAGGGGGUCAUUAUCAUUCCAACCACACAGCCUCCCAUCUGAAGUGACUAGUCAUGGCUUCUACAUCUCACUGGGAAAAGUCUGGCACACAAGAAUGGCCUAGGGAAUUUCCAACUUCAAGAAGAGCUUUCUAAGUAUUGAAUUGCCUCCAGCAUCCAACACAGCAUAGGAGUCUUUGAAGGUGUGUGCAUUUGCAGGGUUGCAAGCCAGAACCUCUCAGAAGAGGAGGCAGAUGCUGGGUUUAUAGAUAGCUUCAAUAGGCACAGAAAUCUUAUUACAGGAACCAGAGCACCAGGAAAUACAACAUGACAACGAAGAAAAAAAUGGCACAUUGAAAUCUUCUAGAGAAGGAUGGAUAGAGGAAGAAAUGAAUGAGUGCGUGUAAUAAUGUAUAAUAAGUACAUAGCUGUUCCUCUCUAAAUUCCAUUUUAUUGGAUCAAUUGUAACAUAGAAUGAAAAUAUACAUUGACGGGAGCCAUAAGCCUAAGUGACCCUUGAUACACAUGCCGCCAUAUUUGGGCUUCUCUCCUCUUAGAUCUAGGCCUUGCUUAAGUCUCCAUAGCACCAGAACCUCUUCCCACCGA